rnacentral:tRNA from 1 species
AGUAAUAUAGUAUAUUAGUACAUUUGAUUUCCAAUCAAAUGGAAAGAAAAUUUUUCUUUUUA